CAGGGAGACAACAAAAUGUUUGAUAUUAUUAUUUUGUCACCUUAGGUCGAUCGGUAUCUCACGUUCUUAAUUUAUUAAGAAUUUCAUUUCCUAAGUUUUUCUAGGUCACACCCAUUAUUUUCCUGGGCCAUUAGCUCAGGUGGUUAGAGCGCACCCCUGAUAAGGGUGAGGUCCCUGGUUCAAGUCCAGGAUGGCCCAUAUCUCUAUGUUGGGGGUAUAGCUCAGUUGGUAGAGCGCCUGCUUUGCAAGCAGGAUGUCAGCGGUUCGAGUCCGCUUACCUCCACUGAUUACCACCUCUACCAUAAUCUGUAGAAGGGAAAUGCAUUGAGUUGUGAUCAAAUUCUGAACGAAUCUAGCUUCCUAAUGAAUCAUUAAGAUGCUGGACUCAUUGAAUUAAUUUCAUUGUUUUCAGAGAACCUUGACAACUGCAUAGAUUAUUUUUAAAGACAAUAAGCAUCUUUUAAUGAUGCAGAUUUAUUAUUUGUGCGAAUGCAUUAAUAACAAUUCUAUUAAGCUGAUGCUUCAAUUUUGAAGUUAUU
rnacentral:tRNA from 1 species